rfam:Ixodes scapularis strain Wikel colony gcontig_1107729019784, whole genome shotgun sequence.
GCGGUCGUGGCCGAGUGGUUAAGGUGAUGGACUAGAAAUCCAUUGAGGUCCCCCCCACAGGUUUGAAUCCUGUCGACAGCA